UGGGCACUGGACCAUCACCUGGGCACCGGACCAUCACCUGGGCACCGGACCAUCACCUGGGAGGGGAGAGCCAAGGCCUGAGCAAGGGGCGGCGCGCAUGGAGAUGAACACUCGCCCGCAGCAGAGCGUCCCUGCGCGCGUGCACUGGCGCGUACAAGUUCAGUCUCUGGGGACACCUAAGCAUACAGCCGAGUGCUCUACACCCCUGAACAGGAGAUGACUUGGAGCGGUCUUCAUCGCAGCCUUGCUAUCCAGAGACGAUGGACUCUGGAGGGACUGUGCACGUUCCAGGGCUGGCCAGUUCGUAGAGCUAAUAAACAACUCCCGGAAAGGUGUCUUUCAGAUGCAAACCAACCAAUCCAGAGCCUGAGCCCCCAGCCACCUCCUCUGGGCUUCUCAGAUUUCCCAUCAAUAACCCCUACCCUAAUCACACCACGGCCAGAUACCAGAUAAGGAAGGAGAGCCCCUGCCCCAGAGCCUACCGAGAAUAUUUGAAUUAGCCUCUCCAGAACCUACU